rnacentral:lncRNA from 1 species
GUUCAUUUCCUCAUCAUGCUGGUUAACAGCACCCUGCUUUUCCCUUGUGGAACCUGCCCUUCCUUAGUUUCAGCCCAAAUGGUUUGAGUGGCACUGACCCCAACCCCAACCCUGCCUUUUCAGGGGUGGCCAUGGACCCAGGUCUGACCAAUCAGGUCGCCCCUGCCCUCUGGCCAGGCAGGUUGCUUCAGGAGUGGGCACAUGGACCUACUCAGGUAAAUGAGGCUCAAUUCGGAGAAUUUUGCUAGGAGAAGCCUUCUUUCCCUAGGAACCAUUCCCUGUAAGAAUGCUGGAUGCUUCCACCUGUCGGAGCCCCUGAAGAAAGUCCCCUGAAAAUGCAGCCGGCACAGCAGAAGCCAGACCCAAAAGAAAUGAAGAGAAGAAGACUGGACUGGACAGCAUUUUUUUAAACCCAUCCUUGCACGUGAAGCCAGAACUUUUCAUUUACAACAAUGUGAUCAUUGGAGAAGAAGCUGAAAUAACAGAGGGCACCUGCUGUUACACAAUCGAUUGCACAACACCUGAUGUGUAUCCACAGCGCUCAAAGUUCACGUGGAUUUCCUUCUUCUUAUAGAGACAACAUACGCAUUGUAGUGGAAGUCAGAUGAAACAAAAAUUUCUCUGAAAGCAUAUAAAAGCAUUUCUAUGGGAACAGCAAUUGUUAUGAUUACAUUAAAAAUGUAUUCACUUGCAGGCAAUUUUGGCACUCUGUGUAAAUUUGGGGUGCUCCAAAUCUUGAAGAAAUGUAUCUUAAAAAAUACACCUUAACACCAGUUGCCAGAAUGGGUCAUCCACUACUAUAGUCAAAACAAUUUACUUUGCUUUAUUGCAGGUAAAAAUUACAAAUAUGACUAAAAUCUACAUAACAAAUAUAUGUUCCCAAAAUAAUAUUGAUCUUGCCAACAGUAGCUGAAUAUUUAAUUUACUUUAACAAACAUGCUGAAAGAUAAUAAAUGAAAAUUAUUUUUCUAUUUGUCCUUCUAGGCUCUGUAUAACUAGUGGUUAUAACUAAUGCAUAUAACUGUCUAACUAAUAGUUUUCUUAUUAGAAAACUAUUUUUUUUCCAAUAGUAUGGAACGCAGGCA